UACGGAGGAUCCAAGCGUUAUCCGGAUUCAUUGGGUUUAAAGGGUGCGUAGGCGGAAUGAUAAGUCAGCGGUGAAAUCCCUCGGCUUAACCGAGGAACUGCCGUUGAUACUGUCAAUCUUGAGUACAUUUGAUGUGGGCGGAAUGUGUCAUGUAGCGGUGAAAUGCUUGGAUAUGACACAGAACACCGAUUGCGAGGGCAGCUCACAAAACUGUAACUGACGCUGAGGCACGAAAGCGUGGGUAUCAAACAGG
rnacentral:rRNA from 1 species